UCCCGACCAAUCUCUCAGCACCUCCAGCUUUGACGUCUUUACCGACAGCCAACCAAACUCCUGCGAGUCCGGUCCACGCCUUCGCGCCCAUCAUUCAUCCCACAGAGGCGUCCGGCGUCCAAUCGCCAGCCGUGCCCAGAAGGACGGGCGGAGGAGCCAAUCAGGUUUGUUUUUGGUACAGUGAGGAAAUGAAGAUCUGGCCAAACUCCAUCUAGUAGAAGAAAGACUCAAGUGCAGCUCUGGUGCUAAAUAAGCGUGAUAACUGAGAUGGACCGCACUGCU